AGAACGUCUUACUAUGGUUCCAGGGAGGUUCUGAGAACGUCUAAAUAUGGUUCCAGGGAGGUUCUGAGAAGGUCUAACUAUGGUUCCAGGGAGGUUCUGAGAACGUCUUACUAUGGUUCCAGGGAGGUUCUGAGAACGUCUUACUAUGGUUCCAGGGAGGUUCUGAGAACGUCUAACUAUGGUUCCAGGGAGGUUCUGAGAACGUCUAACUAUGGUUCCAGGGAGGUUCUGAGAACGUCUAACUAUGGUUCCAGGGAGGUUCUGAGAACGUCUAACUAUGGUUCCAGGGAGGUUCUGAGAACGUCUAACUAUGGUUCCAGGGAGGUUCUGAGAACGUCUAACUAUGGUUCCAGGGAGGUUCUGAGAACGUAUAACUAUGGUUCCAGGGAGGUUCUGAGAACGUCUAACUAUGGUUCCAGGGAGGUUCUGAGGUUCUGAGAACAUCUAACUAUGGUUCC